ACUAUGCCUAGCCGUAAACCAUAACUUACACUCAAAUCGCCAGGGAAUUACGAGCUAAAAGCUUAAAACCCAAAGGACUUGACGGUACCCCACAUCCCCCUAGAGGAGCCUGUUCUAUAAUCGAUAAUCCACGUUUAACCUCACCACUUUUAGCUUAUCAGCCUGUAUACCUCCGUCGUCAGCUUACCCCGUGAGCGACCAAUAGUGAGCUUAAUGUCCACCCGUCAAAACGUCAGGUCAAGGUGCAGCUUAUAAAGUGGGAAGAGAUGGGCUACACUCUCUAAUUUAGAGAAUACGAAAGACUAUUUAUGAAAUUUAGUCGGAAGGCGGAUUUAGAAGUAAAAAGGGACAAGAACACUCUUUUUAACCCGGCACUGGGGUGUGUACACACCGCCCGUCACCCUCCUCGAAAGCCGAUAAAGCAGUAUCUAACUCAUUUAAGCUAAAUAGAAGAGGCAAGUCGUAACAUGGUAAGCGCACCGGAAGGUGCGCUUGGAAA
rnacentral:rRNA from 1 species